rnacentral:rRNA from 1 species
UACGAAGGGGGCUAGCGUUGCUCGGAAUUACUGGGCGUAAAGCGCACGUAGGCGGCUUUCUAAGUCGGGGGUGAAAUCCUGGAGCUCAACUCCAGAACUGCCUUCGAUACUGGAGAGCUUGAGUCCGGGAGAGGUGCGUGGAACUGCGAGUGUAGAGGUGAAAUUCGUAGAUAUUCGCAAGAACACCAGUGGCGAAGGCGGCUCACUGGCCCGGUACUGACGCUGAGGUGCGAAAGCGUGGGGAGCGAACAGG